ensembl:lncRNA
AUUUUUUGAAAUAUAUGUAUAUUUUUAUUUUGGCAGUUUGCUUUACUUCUAAGUGACUGCCUGAGUCCUCAUAUAUUCCCGAAGGAACUCGUUACAUAAUCCAAAGUCAGGUUUUAACUCAGGGGAAUCUAGUUCAGUUGGAAGGACAGGAAUAUAUUGAGAGAGAGACAGAACAAUAAAGUAGGUAUUAGAAUUCCUCACAAACAAGUUUUCUUUGAGUGUCAGAAAGGGUGGGGGCCGCUGACUUGGCCACUGAGAGUGGAGGGAGAUGUGAGCAAUGGUAGAUGCCAGGAUCUGGAGAAGGGACAGAAGCAGAGAUAUUUUCCUUUUUUUGUAUUUUGAAGGAAGAUGGGAGCAGGUUCAAGGCUGGGGACAUGACAUGGAAAAUCAACGUGUUUAGAAAGAAUGUGGAUGGAAAGAAGAAAGAGGCUGUGAGUUUAGUCAUGAUCUGAGAGGGAGUGUGAGUGUUGGAUAGGUGUGUGAGGCUGGUUUCUCCUGCAAGUUGCACUCUGAGAGAGCCAUUGUAAAGACACAGGAGCAUGAACAGGGAGGUGGGUGGGUGUCAGGGAAGGAGCUUGUGGAAGAGCAUUUAAGAGAAGGCAAGGAAUAGAGUUGGAUUUGUGUGCGUGUCCUGUGUGGGUGUUGGGAGGGAUGGAAAAUUGAAGGACAGGGAAACUGGGAAGGCAUUAAUUGCUUGCUGCUGCCUGUUCCGUAACCUGACCAUAAACACAGUUUCUCCAUCAGGCUUUUUAAUGGACUCUUGAGGUGAACCGUGUGGCUCUGUGCCCUGUCAGGAGUGAUGGUAUUGAGGCAGACAGCCCUGGGGCUCUGCUUUCCCCCUGCAGUUCAUCAUGUCUGAAUUUAGAAGGGAAUUGUUUGGACAAGCCUGUUAAGUGAAUGUUUUUCCAGCAUUAGUAGGAGAGCUUACAGAGCUCCCAUUGGAUGGAAACAGCAUCUAACCACCCCGAGCUAUGCUGGGAGAGAAAAUUUAUGUAAUAACAUUCACACAGCAUCUUUCCUUUGCUUCUUUGGUUUCCUGCAUUCCGAUUGGUGGAAGGCAUCUGUCCAAGCCUCUGCUCAGUUUUCUGAACCUCUGCCAUAGGGUUUAUUGGCUUGGCAUCUCAGUGGUGCAUGGACAGAUGGACGGAGACCACAGCAAUAGAGUAGGCAAUUUCCCAAGAGAAAAAGGUCAUACAAAGACACAGUGAGAAGGCAGCUCCCUGAAAGCCACGAAGAGAGGCCUCAGCAGAAACCAACUCUGCCGGCAUGUUGAUCUUGAACUUCCAGCCUUCAGAACCGUGAGAAAAUAAAUUUGUGUUGUUUAAGCUACCCAGCCUGUAGUAUUUUGUUAUAGAAGCCCAAGCUGAUUAAUAAAAUAUGUUGCUCCAUUAAAAGAGCUCUCUCUUCUUCACAGUUGGAUAUGACUUUAUAUUAAUUUUUCUUGCAUGUGAUUUUGCCUAGAAUGCUGUAGCAGUCAGUGGCCCCUCCUAUUGUAAAAAAACAAUCUCUUAUAUAAGCUUACUUAUUUGGUAGACAGGCUGGUUUUCAAAUGUGCUGUGGUUUCACCCUCUCUCAGUGUUUUUAUCAGAGUACAGCUAGAGGAGCAGAACCAAUGGGAAGUAAGUGUGUGUUUGUGUGUGUGUGUGUGUGUGUGUGCGUGUGCCCCAAGUCCACAGAGUAAACAUUCAUGAAGGAAGGAUCCAGAGGUAAUAGAGUUGCAGCUCCAACUGUUGCGUCAUGCCAAUGAGGUCAAUCAGCAGAUCUGCAACAAUGAGGUGAGUGUGGAGGCCCCAGAAUGUAGAAAUAUUUUAUAAUUUAUUUCUCCUCUGUUGCUUGGAAUCUUUCAUACUCAAGGAGAGCUUAGUCCCUCUUUAAAUCCACCUGAUUGAGUCAGGUCUACCCAUGAUAAUCUUUCUUUUUAUCAACUCAAACUCAACUGAUUGGGACUUUAAUUGUACCCACAAAAUUUCUUUGUAGUGGCACCUAGAAUAGCAUUUGAUUGAAUAAUUGGGAGAAGGUUAUAUGUAUUACAGAUUGGCUGCUGUUCCUCUUUGAUACUUCCAUUCUCUUGAAAGAAUCUCCCCGGAAUCCCACCUUAACCAGAAACAUGCCAGAAAGGGGAUUCUGGGGAAUAUAGGUUAGCUUAGCCUUGUUAACACAUCAGAAAGCCAUGACAGUGUCCAAUACUCACAUAUAUCAUUGUGAUUCACUCUCAAGCUUUUACUCCACAAAACAUGUAGGGCUGAUCUGUUAAAAAACAAACAAACAAACAAACAAAAACUCUUUCCCGACUUUCAUGGAAAAGGCUGCCAGGCUUUAGAGAAGACACAUUCUCUUUUUCUUCCUUUAGUUGUCCUCCAUGGGUUUAAAUCCUUCUCGUUUCACCUUGUCAGUCUUUGUUUCUGUUUGCUUGAAUGUCAUAGGAAGGAAAGAUCUACACUCUUAUUACUGUGGUUUGCUUGGUUGUAGUUCUUUCAUUAUAAACUGAGGAGGAAUGAUGUUUUUACUACUUACAAGCUGUGUGAAGUUGGGCCAAUCCCUUACACCUCCAGUGCUCAAAGAAUAAUCACCUUUUAGGGUUGCUCUGUAGGUUAAAUGACCAAAUGUAUGUAAAGCACUGUGCAUGCUGCCUGAACACUGUAGGAGUUUGAAAAGUGAUAGCAUAUCAUAAUUAUCAUCAUCAAUAUUAUUAUUUUCUCUAAUUCUUUAAAUAUAAUAAAGAAUAAGUUAUUUGCCCAGACCCAGAGCUACCCCAAAUCAGAAUUGAUAUCAAUUGAUACACUUUUCACCCUACCUAAUCUCAAGUUUCUUGCUACUUUAAGACAUUUAUUCAGAGAGGCUUCUAAUUGCUAUUAGCCUUCAUCAUUUUCUCAAAUAUAUUGCCUACAGCAUUGGCAGCAGCAAUAAUAAAUAUAAUAACAACUCCAUGAAACCUCAUGUAUGCUAAAGGAUCCGAAGACAAUCUGAACAGCAGGAAAGAAAGUUUCUUCCUAUCAAUUAAUGGGAAGCCAAGUCUAAUUUGCCACCUGCACAGCACUUUUGAACCUGUCAGGGACAAAGGAAGCCAGUGAACCUUCAUCUUGUCACUAGUCUUCUUGGGGACUGCUCUCUAAAGCAAAUGAAAAUAGCAUUCAUUAGAGUAAAAAAUAGAACGCCUGUGUCAGCCCCCUAUGUUCUCUUCCUAGGUAGAAACAGAGUCCAUCAUUGUCAGUGAGGAGGUGGCUCACAAAGCCCUCUGGACCUUUGCAUUCAUCUCCUGCUGCUGGAGAAUGAACAUUUCCUUAAACUCUUUUGAAAUGUUUAGAAUGUUAACUCAUCAGUUCCCCUGUGACUUGUGAGUCAAGAGACAUUAGAAACAUUAAAAGAGUUCUACUGUUUCACAGUCUAACUCUGAAAAUGCUGGAAAGGCUAAGAUAAAUUCCAGGUGAAAAAGAUAAGACUUCUGAGAAUUUUUUGGCUCCCCUGAAUCAUCUAGGAUAACAAUAAAAACAUGUAUACAAUCUAUUGCUAGUGUAUUCCUUGGUUUAAAAACUUAUACAAAUAAAAACAAACACACAAACUCCUUCCCCAUAGUAUGUACUAAUACUUCAAAAUUGAAUUUCUUUUCAACUGGUACUUUGCUUACAAUUAGGGAUGCUGCCACUAAAUGGCAGUAUGCAAGAUAAGGCCAUGAAGUUAAAAAAUGUGGACGAUAACUUAUUCAAUAAUUAAUUCAACAUAUUUAGUAGAACUACCAUGUGCCAGAAACGUUGAAAACAAUACUACUUGCACCUUGAUAAUUUUGCCUUAGAUGAAAGUAAGCACAUAUUUAUUGCUACUUUUAUGUAGAAACCUUAUACUAUCAACUUCUAAUUCAUUGAUGAUGUACCUAAUCAGAAAUUACUAGCUAUUGUAGAACAUUUCUCACAAAUUAUGCUAAUCUAAUUCUCAUCUUAUCCUCAUACCUUGAUUAAAAUUACCUCCUCCUUUGUUAUGAACUCUGAAUCCCAUCUUGGCAUGGCUCCACUGCACUGUCACCUCACUUUGGAGCCUUUUUGCCACAGCAGCCACUCUGGGGGUUUUCUUCCUUGCCAGAGAUCCAGAGACUUCUUUUCCUUCAUCCCAAUUAUUAUUGAUCUACAUGCCCUGUUUGGAGCUUUGAGCUAUUGUGCAAGGCUCAGGGACAUCCAAGUGUUCCCUCUGCUCCCUCCUACCCACAUUUAGCCCACCCCAUCUCAGAGUGAAGAAGAGAUGCUAUUAAUGGAUGAAAGUUGAGGGGAUUUUUUUUGGGUCCAGAUGCUGAGAUAGUCUCUUUCUCUCUUUAGGGAUGAUAUGUCCUUUGAGGUCCUCUCUUUUACAUGAUUUCAGUUAAAGAGGUCUGGGACUGCUCUGAGAAGGCCUGGAGUUACCCAACUCCAAGUUGGCUUACCCAACUUCUAUUUUAGGCACAGGGGUACUUAGGCUCUCAUUCCUUGGAAGUUUUCCAGAGAAGAGUGAUUGAAGGUCAGAAUCCUGAGUCCUGAUUGUGUCUCUAGUUGUUUAUUAACAAAGACCCAGCUUCCUUUUGAAUUAGAGGAACAGAUUUCAUUUGUCUUUUAAAUCCCUGGGUCUCAGCUCUGUUCUUCCUGAGAGCUCUGUGUCUUCUCUCCUAUAGGCUAGAAUGACACAGAGGGAGUAGGAAAAGUCACAUAACUGAGCCUCAAGACCACUUCCCCUGCAAUUAUGACAGUUUUCUCUGCCAUCCAUUUUUUUUCUUGAGAAGUCCUUCAGAUUUCUUUCUUUCUGAUCAAUACUUUAUUUGCAGUCAGUGAUUCAGGUUGCCUGUAGCAUCAGCUUCAGUUUAUGCAUAUCAUCAGACAUACAUUCUCUUUUCAAGAAUUGUUUUCCAUAAGCCUUGUAUCUCUUACCACAGAACAUUUUUAAACAACAUUUAUAACCAGAAGAUUUAAUAAGUCUUAAUAGAUAGAAGAUUUAAAGUAUUUUUGUCAGAUCAGAUUGUCAUGUUAAGGACAUUUUAUUGAAUCUAGGCAUUUAUUAUAAGAUAAUUUCUCAACAUAUAUUAUCUCUCAUAUAGUCAUACACAUAUACACAUACAUAUACACAUAUAUGUUAUACAUAUAUAUGCAUAUGUGCAUAUACUAUACAUAAAUACAUAAUACAUUAUAUAUGUGUAUAUAUAUUGUUUUUUCCUAUUUGUAAUAUAGGACAUAACAGAACUAUGCUCAGUUCACAAGAUAUCAGGAUAAAGAGAUUAAAAUCAAGGCAAAAUCGAAAAACAUAAUAGAAUAUAUUUUUCUUGCCACACUUUCUCCAGGUGUAGGGCAUAAACUCAACAAGUAGUUUAGGACUUUCUAAACAUUACUAGACAUACCAUAUGGGCCCACUUGUGUUUCAAAUCAGAAUAUUACAUACAAGCACCCACUUAAGUCCCUGGGCUGCCCAUGUCAAUCCAAGGCAGCUGAGGGUAAAAAGAAUGAGAUUUUUCUGAAAUCCAGGAAAGUCUACUGUUAACAUGAUAUUGCGUCCAGAAUUGGUUCCUUCUGGUGGGUUCUUGGUCUUGCUGACUUCAAGAAUGAAGCUGCAGACCCUCACGGUGAGUAUUACGGUUCUUAAAGAUGGUGUGUCCGGAGUUUUUUCCUUCAGAUGUUCAGAUGUGUCUGGAGUUUCUUCCUUCCAGUGGUUUAGUGGUCCCACUGACUUCAGGAGUGAA